GAUGAACGCUGGCGGCUUGCCUAAUACAUGCAAGUCGAGCGAAGCGGGGACGGGUGAGUAACACGUGGAUAACCUCCUAUACGACUGGGAUAACUUCGGGAAACCGUAGCUAAACCGGAUACUUAUCUGUGGAUCCGCUCUGCAUUCGCUAGUUGGUAAGGUCACGGCUUACGAAGGCAACGAGGCAUAGCCGACCUGAGAGGGUGAUCGGCCAAAAUGGAACGGAGACACGGUCCAGCCUCCUACGGGAGGCAGCAGUAGGGAAGCUUCCGCAAUGGGCGAAAGCCUGACGGAGCAACGCCGCGGGAGUGAUGAAGGUCUUCGGAUCGUAAAACUCUGUUAUUAGGGAAGCGGUACCGAAUCAGAAAGCCACGGCUAACUACGUGCCAGCCGCCGCGGUAAUUC
rnacentral:rRNA from 1 species